rnacentral:rRNA from 1 species
GCAUCUAUACGGUGAAACUGCGAAUGGCUCAUUAAAUCAGUUAUCGUUUAUUUGAUAGUACCUUACUACUUGGAUAACCGUGGUAAUUCUAGAGCUAAUACAUGCUAAAAACCCCAACUUCGGAAGGGGUGUAUUUAUUAGAUAAAAAACCAACGCCCUUCGGGGCUCCUUGGUGAUUCAUAAUAACUAAACGAAUCGCAUGGCCUUGCGCCGGCGAUGGUUCAUUCAAAUUUCUGCCCUAUCAACUUUCGAUGGUAGGAUAGUGGCCUACCAUGGUAUCAACGGGUAACGGGGAAUUAGGGUUCUAUUCCGGAGAGGGAGCCUGAGAAACGGCUACCACAUCCAAGGAAGGCAGCAGGCGCGCAAAUUACCCAAUCCCGACACGGGGAGGUAGUGACAAUAAAUACUGAUACAGGGCUCUUACGGGUCUUGUAAUUGGAAUGAGUACAAUUUAAAUCCCUUAACGAGGAACAAUUGGAGGGCAAGUCUGGUGCCAGCAGCCGCGGUAAUUCCAGCUCCAAUAGCGUAUAUUAAAGUUGUUGCAGUUAAAAAGCUCGUAGUUGAACCUUGGGCCUGGCUGGCCGGUCCGCCUCACCGCGUGCACUGGUCCGGCCGGGCCUUUCCUUCUGGGGAUCCGCAUGCCCUUUACUGGGUGUGCUGGGGAACCAGGACUUUUACUUUGAAAAAAUUAGAGUGUUCAAAGCAGGCCUUUGCUCGAAUACAUUAGCAUGGAAUAAUAGAAUAGGACGUGCGGUUCUAUUUUGUUGGUUUCUAGGACCGCCGUAAUGAUUAAUAGGGAUAGUCGGGGGCAUCAGUAUUCAAUUGUCAGAGGUGAAAUUCUUGGAUUUAUUGAAGACUAACUACUGCGAAAGCAUUUGCCAAGGAUGUUUUCAUUAAUCAGUGAACGAAAGUUAGGGGAUCGAAGACGAUCAGAUACCGUCGUAGUCUUAACCAUAAACUAUGCCGACUAGGGAUCGGGCGAUGUUACUAUUCUGACUCGCUCGGCACCUUACGAGAAAUCAAAGUC